GAUGAAGAACGCAGCGAAAUGCGAUAAGUAAUGUGAAUUGCAGAAUUCAGUGAAUCAUCGAAUCUUUGAACGCACAUUGCGCCCGCCAGUAUUCUGGCGGGCAUGCCUGUUCGAGCGUCAUUACAACCCUCAGGCCCCCGGGCCUGGCGUUGGGGAUCGACAGAAGCCCCCUGUGGGCACACGCCGUCCCUCAAAUACAGUGGCGGUCCCGCCGCAGCUUCCAUUGCGUAGUAGCUAACACCUCGCAACUGGAGAGCGGCGCGGCCAUGCCGUAAAACACCCAACUUCUGAAUGUUGACCUCGAAUCAGGUAGGAAUACCCGCUGAACUUAAGCAUAUCAAUAAGCGGAGGA
rnacentral:misc_RNA from 1 species